UGMAGUCGAGCGAAUGGAUUAAGAGCUUGUUUAUGAAGUUAGCGGCGGACGGGUGAGUAACACGUGGGYAACCUGCCCAUAAGACUGGGAUAACUCCGGGAAACCGGGGCUAAUACCGGAUAACAUUUUGAACCGCAUGGUUCGAAAUUGAAAGGCGGCUUCGGCUGUCACUUAUGGAUGGACCCGCGUCGCAUUAGCUAGUUGGUGAGGUAACGGCUCACCAAGGCAACGAUGCGUAGCCGACCUGAGAGGGUGAUCGGCCACACUGGGACUGAGACACGGCCCAGACUCCUACGGGAGGCAGCAGUAGGGAAUCUUCCGCAAUGGACGAAAGUCUGACGGAGCAACGCCGCGUGAGUGAUGAAGGCUUUCGGGUCGUAAAACUCUGUUGUUAGGGAAGAACAAGUGCUAGUUGAAUAAGCUGGCACCUUGACGGUACCUAACCAGAAAGCCACGGCUAACUACGUGCCAGCAG
rnacentral:rRNA from 1 species